UCUGCGCCAGGACCUCGAGGUGGGUCUUGUCGCUGACGCUGACGAGGGCGCGACGGAUCGGCGUGGGCGCGGUCAUAUGCGCGCCCGCGGUACCA
rnacentral:tRNA from 1 species